AUGAGGCAAUUUGGUCUUCUGCAAUUGGAGGCUCCUCCCCCUAUGGAGGCCCCGCUGCACAGAAACAUCCACAGGAUCAGAAAGAAGGGGAUUAAUAGGACUGCUACUGAGUGGCUAGACAGGGUUCAGCCGUACGUUACACAAUGGGAGACCGCGAGCACACAUCUGUGGCACGAGAAUGACAACUUUGAUAUGGACGAAUUCAAUCUCUAUCUGCAGCGGUACAUGACCGGAACAUGGUUAUGCAUCGUUCAUCACAAUCACCUAGAUGAGAUACCUGCCCCUAAUACAACGGAUAUCUAA
rnacentral:rRNA from 1 species